rnacentral:rRNA from 1 species
AGGACGAACGCUGGCGGCGUGCUUAACACAUGCAAGUGGAGCGACGAACCGGGGCUUGCCCCGGGGCAGAGCCGCGAACGGGUGAGUAACACGUGGGUUACCUGCCUUGAUGACCGGGACAACCCGAGGAAACUCGGGCUAAUACCGGAUGUGCCCGCAAGGGGGAAAGGAAGCUUCGGCCUCCGCAUCAAGAUGGGCCCGCGGCCCAUUAGCUUGUUGGUGAGGUAACGGCUCACCAAGGCUUCGAUGGGUAGCUGGUCUGAGAGGACGAUCAGCCACACUGGGACUGAGACACGGCCCAGACUCCUACGGGAGGCAGCAGUGGGGAAUCUUGCGCAAUGCGCGAAAGCGUGACGCAGCAACGCCGCGUGGGGGAAGAAGGCUUUCGGGUUGUAAACCCUUUCAGUUGGGACGAAGCUUCUUUGGUGAUAGCCAAAAUGGAGUGACGGUACCUUCACAAGAAGCACCGGCUAACUACGUGCCAGCAGCCGCGGU